rnacentral:misc_RNA from 1 species
GAUGAAGAACGCAGUGAAAUGCGAUAAGUAAUGUGAAUUGCAGAAUUCAGUGAAUCAUCGAAUCUUUGAACGCACAUUGCGCCCGCCAGUAUUCUGGCGGGCAUGCCUGUUCGAGCGUCAUUUCAACCAUCAAGCCCCCGGCUUGUGUUGGGGACCUGCGGCUGCCCGCAGGCCCUGAAAACCAGUGGCGGGCUCGCUGUCACUCCGAGCGUAGUAGCAUAUAUCUCGCUCAGGGCGUGCUGCGGGUUCCGGCCGUUAAAAGCCUUUUUUUACCCAAGGUUGACCUCGGAUCAGGUAGGAAGACCCGCUGAACUUAAGCAUAUCAAUAAGCGGAGGA